UGGGGAAUAUUGGACAAUGGGCGAAAGCCUGAUCCAGCCAUGCCGCGUGUGUGAAGAAGGUCUUCGGAUUGUAAAGCACUUUAAGUUGGGAGGAAGGGCAUUAACCUAAUACGUUAGUGUUUUGACGUUACCGACAGAAUAAGCACCGGCUAACUUCGUGCCAGCAGCCGCGGUAAUACGAAGGGUGCAAGCGUUAAUCGGAAUUACUGGGCGUAAAGCGCGCGUAGGUGGUUCGUUAAGUUGGAUGUGAAAAGCCCCCGGGGCUCAACCUGGGAACUGCAUCCAAAAACUGGCGAGCUAGAGUACGGUAGAGGGUGGUGGAAUUUCCUGUGUAGCGGUGAAAUGCGUAGAUAUAGGAAGGAACACCAGUGGCGAAGGCGACCACCUGGACUGAUACUGACACUGAGGUGCGAAAGCGUGGGGAGCAAAACAGGAUUAGAUACCCUGGUGGUCCACGCCGUAAAACGAUGUCAACUAGCCGUUGGGUUCCUUGAGAACUUAGUGGCGCAGCUAACGCAUUAAGUUGACCGCCUGGGGAGUACGGCCGCAAGGUUAAAACUCAAAUGAAUUGACGGGGUCAUAGCUGUUUCCUG
rnacentral:rRNA from 1 species